rnacentral:rRNA from 1 species
AUGGCCGAAUGCUUCAAUUGGGUGCUCAAAGGUGCACGUGGAUUACCCGUGACGGCAAUAGUUCAAUACAGAUUUGACAAGAUGAAUGCGUACUUUGUAAAGUACUCGAUGGAAACCGAUGCACAGAUAGCGGGUGAGAACCCACGGAAGUACAAGUACAAGUUCCCACCCAAAGUUGAUGAAUGGUUGGUAUUUCAAUCAUGGAAGGCGGACUCAGAAGAAGCUAUAUUAUAUGACAACGAAGAGUGGAAGUACGAAGUGAAAGAGCCAGGAGGAACCACAAACGAUGGCCGGCAACAUGGAGGUCGGGCUUUCAAGGUGUCGUUAACACAAUGUGAUUGCACUUGCGGGAGGCCAUUGUUGCUUCAUCUCCCAUGCUCACAUUUGUAUGCCGCUGGUCGCGUUAGGAAUGUGGACAUCAAUCACCCACGCACCGUGAGGGAGUCGGAGUUCUCAAUCAUGACGGUCAAGAAAACAUGGGCUCCCCGCUUUCACCCAUACUUUGACCAAUCACAAUGGCCGGAGUAUCAUGGAGUUCAACUAUGGCCGGAAACGGAGUUGAAGGUUGUUAAACGGGGUAGACGUAAGACAAAGCGUCUUAGAGGCGACAUGGACGGAUGGGGCCAUGGUGGGCGCCGCGAAGCGGGCAACGACCAAUUCCAAGAGCCUCGUGAGAGCUCCCGUUGUGGGGAGUGCAAAGGUCAUGGCCACAACAAAAGAAAAUGUUCGAAACCAAGGAAAAGGUCCAAGAAAAAUGAUGCAAGCACAAGCUAA